UACGGAGGGUGCAAGCGUUAAUCGGAAUUACUGGGCGUAAAGCGUGCGCAGGCGGUUUGUUAAGUCCGUUGUGAAAGCCCCGAGCUCAACUUGGGAAUUGCAGUGGAUACUGGCAAGCUGGAGUACGGUAGAGGAAGGUGGAAUUCCCGGUGUAGCAGUGAAAUGCGUAGAUAUCGGGAGGAACACCAGUGGCGAAGGCGGCCUUCUGGACCAGUACUGACGCUCAUGCACGAAAGCGUGGGGAGCAAACAGG
rnacentral:rRNA from 1 species